ensembl:lncRNA
AUGAGAGGAACUGGAGCCGCUCGCAGAGGUCUGGGUGAAGUUCAUGACUCUCAGUGAUAUACGUUCAUCAGGGGAGCGUCGUUCCCAUCAUCCUCGUCUCUGCGCUUCCUCUUUGUUCUGCAUCUGCUGAGCUGUGCGUGCCAGAUAUCUGACAUUUACACAAACGCUCUGAGGAUCGGCUGAGGUCACUGACUCAUGUUACAGUCAGCGCUGCAGUGAUGACAAACAAGCCUAAUCCGCCUGAUUGACAUCUCAGUCUAAAUUGACUUGGAAUAACGGAGGAAAAUUCCAGAUGUUCAGUGCUGAAGGCCUGGAUCUGUCAGUGUGUUUGGUGGCAGUGAUGUUGCAAUGAAGUGGCUG